UCACUCUAGCGAGACUGCCGGUAAUAAACCGGAGGAAGGUGGGGAUGACGUCAAAUCAUCAUGCCCCUUAUGACCUGGGCUACACACGUGCUACAAUGGCUGGACAACGAGUCGCAAGCCGGUGACGGCAAGCUAAUCUCUUAAAGCCAGUCUCAGUUCGGAUUGUAGGCUGCAACUCGCCUACAUGAAGUCGGAAUCGCUAGUAAUCGCGGAUCAGCACGCCGCGGUGAAUACGUUCCCGGGCCUUGUACACACCGCCCGUCACACCACGAGAGUUUGUAACACCCGAAGUCGGUGAGGUAACCGUAAGGAGCCAGCCGCCUAAGGUGGGAUAGAUGAUUGGGGUGAAGUCGUAACAAGGUAACCGUAA
rnacentral:rRNA from 1 species